GACGAACGCUGGCGGCGUACUUAACACAUGCAAGUCGAACGAUGAAGCCGGAGCUUGCUCUGGUGAAUUAGUGGCGAACGGGUGAGUAACACGUGAGUAACCUGCCCUUGACUCUGGGAUAACUGCGGGAAACUGUAGCUAAUACCGGGUACGACCCUCGGAGGCAUCUCCUGGGGGUGGAAAGAAUUUCGGUCAAGGAUGGACUCGCGGCCUAUCAGCUAGUUGGUGAGGUAAAGGCUCACCAAGGCGACGACGGGUAGCCGGCCUGAGAGGGUGACCGGCCACACUGGGACUGAGACACGGCCCAGACUCCUACGGGAGGCAGCAGUGGGGAAUAUUGCACAAUGGGCGCAAGCCUGAUGCAGCAACGCCGCGUGAGGGAUGACGGCCUUCGGGUUGUAAACCUCUUUUAGCAGGGAAGAAGCGAAAGUGACGGUACCUGCAGAAAAAGCACCGGCUAACUACGUGCCAGCAGCCGCCGUAA
rnacentral:rRNA from 1 species